AUUGAACGCUGGCGGCAUGCUUUACACAUGCAAGUCGAACGGUAACAGGCCUUCGGGUGCUGACGAGUGGCGAACGGGUGAGUAAUGCAUCGGAACGUGCCCAGAGGUGGGGGAUAACGCAGCGAAAGCUGUGCUAAUACCGCAUGUGAUCUGAGGAUGAAAGCGGGGGACCAGGCAGCAAUGUUUGGCCUCGCGCCUUUGGAGCGGCCGAUGUCAGAUUAGGUAGUUGGUGGGGUAAAGGCCUACCAAGCCGACGAUCUGUAGCUGGUCUGAGAGGACGACCAGCCACACUGGGACUGAGACACGGCCCAGACUCCUACGGGAGGCAGCAGUGGGGAAUUUUGGACAAUGGGCGCAAGCCUGAUCCAGCAAUGCCGCGUGCGGGAAGAAGGCCUUCGGGUGGUAAACCGCUUUUGUACGGAACGAAAAGGCUCUGGCUAAUACCUGGGGCUGAUGACGGUACCGUAAGAAUAAGCACCGGCUAACUACGU
rnacentral:rRNA from 1 species